UACGAAGGGGGCUAGCGUUGUUCGGAUUUACUGGGCGUAAAGCGCGUGUAGGCGGCUGUUCAAGUUGGGCGUGAAAGCCUUGGGCUUAACCCAAGAAAUGCGCUCAAUACUGGAUAGCUAGAGGACCGGAGAGGAUAGUGGAAUUCCCAGUGUAGUGGUGAAAUACGUAGAGAUUGGGAAGAACACCAGUGGCGAAGGCGGCUAUCUGGACGGUUUCUGACGCUAAGACGCGAAAGCGUGGGGAGCAAACAGG
rnacentral:rRNA from 1 species